CCUACGGGGUGCAGCAGUCGAGAAUCAUUCACAAUGGGGGAAACCCUGAUGGUGCGACGCCGCGUGGGGGAAUGAAGGUCUUCGGAUUGUAAACCCCUGUCAUGUGGGAGCAAAUUAAAAAGAUAGUACCACAAGAGGAAGAGACGGCUAACUCUGUGCCAGCAGCCGCGGUAAUACAGAGGUCUCAAGCGUUGUUCGGAAUCACUGGGCGUAAAGCGUGCGUAGGCUGUUUCGUAAGUCGUGUGUGAAAGGCGCGGGCUCAACCCGCUGACGGCACAUGAUACUGCGAGACUAGAGUAAGGGAGGGGGAACCGGAAUUCUCGGUGUAGCAGUGAAAUGCGUAGAUAUCGAGAGGAACACUCGUGGCGAAGGCGGGUUCCUGGACAUUAACUGACGCUGAGGCACGAAGGCCAGGGGAGCGAAAGGGAUUAGAUACCCCAGUAGUC
rnacentral:rRNA from 1 species